rnacentral:tRNA from 1 species
AAAGGGAGACCUAAUUCAGGUAAAAGACGAAAAAAAAGUAGUCGCUACCAAGAAUCAAUCCCAAAAGGUCGGAGCGAGGCGAAAUUGGCUUUCAAACUAGGUUCUGGGUUCAAACAAGACCUGAAUCAGGAACAAGGGCUAUUAGCUCAGGUGGUUAGAGCGCACCCCUGAUAAGGGUGAGGUCCCUGGUUCGAGUCCAGGAUGGCCCACCUGCACAGGUGGCAAAAACAAGAGAAGCGAGGAAUCAGCACCUUAUCUUACUUAUAUAGUAAGAGAGAAUGCUGGCUCUGAGUAAGAGUCCAGAGGAACCUUGAAAACUGCAUAGAGCUAGGUGAAAAAGCCAAAAAAGAAGACCGCAAG